rnacentral:rRNA from 1 species
GUUUGAUCCUGGCUCAGAACGAACGCUGGCGGCAGGCCUCAAACAUGCAAGUCUAGGGGGCGUAGCAAUACGUCACCGGCGGACGGGUGCGUAACACGUGGGAAUGUACUUAUUGGUUCGGAACAACUCAGGGAAACUUGAGCUAAUACCGAAUGUGCCCGAAAGGGGAAAGAUUUAUCGCCAGUAAAUCAGCCCGCGUCCGAUUAGCUAGUUGGUGGGGUAAAGGCUCACCAAGGCAACGAUCGGUAGCUGUUCUGAGGGGAAGAUCAGCCACACUGGGACUGAGACACGGCCCAGACUCCUACGGGAGGCAGCAGUUGGGAAUCUUGGACAAUGGGGGAAACCCUGAUCCAGCCAUGCCGCGUGAGUGAUGAAGGCCUUCGGGUUGUAAAACUCUUUCGACGGGGACGAUAAUGACGGUACCCGUAGAAGAAGCUCCGGCUAACUUCGUGCCAGCAGCCGCGGUAAUACGAAGGGGGCUAGCGUUGUUCGGAAUUACUGGGCGUAAAGCGCGCGCAGGCGGUCUUCCAAGUCAGUGGUGAAAGCCCGGAGCUCAACUCCGGAACUGCCAUUGAAACUGUGAGACUAGAGUACGAGAGAGGUGAGUGGAAUUCCCAGUGUAGAGGUGAAAUUCGUAGAUAUUGGGAAGAACACCGGUGGCGAAGGCGGCUCACUGGCUCGUUACUGACGCUCAGGCGCGACAGCGUGGGGAUCAAACAGGAUUAGAUACCCUGGUAGUCCACGCCGUANACGAUGAACGCUAGCCGUUGGCCAGCUUGCUGGUCAGUGGCGCAGCUAACGCAUU